rfam:Haemonchus placei strain MHpl1 genome assembly, scaffold: HPLM_scaffold0000248
GGCCCAAAUUUGAAGUAGAGUAGAUUAGGAGGAUCAUUCGACUCUACUGAACUACUCUACUUCGAGUUUGUGCCC